rnacentral:rRNA from 1 species
UCCAAGGCUAAAUACUCUCUAAUGACCGAUAGUGAACAAGUACCGUGAGGGAAAGGCGAAAAGAACCCCGGGAGGGGAGUGAAAUAGAACCUGAAAUCGUAUGCAUACAAACAGUAGGAGCGGAUUUAUUCCGUGACUGCGUACCUUUUGUAUAAUGGGUCAGCGACUUACUUCUUAGUAGCAAGGUUAACCAAAUAGGGGAGCCGUAGGGAAACCGAGUCUUAAAUGGGCGUUCAGUUGCUGGGAGUAGACCCGAAACCGGGUGAUUUAUCCAUGGCCAGGGUGAAGGUUAGGUAAAACUAACUGGAGGCCCGAACCCACUUAUGUUGAAAAAUGAGGGGAUGAGCUGUGGAUAGGGGUGAAAGGCCAAACAAACCCGGAGAUAGCUGGUUCUCUCCGAAAUCUAUUUAGGUAGAGCCUCAUGUAUUACUGUCGGGGGUAGAGCACUGUUAUGGCUAGCGGGUCGUCAAGACUUAGCAAACCAUUGCAAACUCCGAAUACCGACAAGUAUGAGCAUGGGAGACACACUGCGGGUGCUAACGUCCGUAGUGGAAAGGGAAACAACCCAGACCGUCAGCUAAGGUCCCAAAAUUGUAGUUAAGUGGGAAACGAUGUGAAAAGGCCCAGACAGCCAGAAGGUUGGCUUAGAAGCAGCCAUUCCUUUAAAGAGUGCGUAAUAGCUCACUGGUCGAGUCGGUUUGUGCGGAAGAUUUAACGGGGCUAAAACUACAUACCGAAGCUACGGAUCGCAAUAAAUUGCGAUGGUAGGAGAGCGUUCUGUAAGCCGUUGAAGGUGAACUGUGAGGUUUGCUGGAGGUAUCAGAAGUGCGAAUGCUGACAUGAGUAACGAUAAAGGGGGUGAAAAACCCCCUCGCCAGAAGUCCAAGGUUUCCUACGCAACGUUAAUCGGCGUAGGGUUAGUCGGCCCCUAAGGCGAGGCAGAAAUGCGUAGUCGAUGGGAAAUGGGUUAAUAUUCCUAUACUUCAUAUAACUGCGAUGGGAAGACGGAGAAGGUUAAUGCAGCUUGGCGAUGGUUGUCCAAGUUCAAGCGUGUAGAGUAGGUUCUUAGGAAAAUCCGGGAAUCUUAGAUUUAGUUCUAAAGCUCAAGGCGUGAUAACGAACCCUCUUUUGGGAAAAGUGCGUGAUACCAUGCUUCCAGGAAAAUCCUCUAAGCUUCAGGUUAUAUGAAACCGUACCCCAAACCGACACAGGUGGACGAGAUGAGAAUUCUAAGGCGCUNGAGAGAACUCGGGUGAAGGAACUAGGCAAAAUGACACCGUAACUUCGGGAGAAGGUGUGCUUUUGCCGGUGAUUUUACUUGCUAAAUGAGCUGGUAAGAGUUGAAGAUACCAGGUGGCUCCGACUGUUUAUUAAAAACACAGCACUCUGCAAACACGUAAGUGGACGUAUAGGGUGUGACGCCUGCCCGGUGCUUGAAGGUUAAUUGAUGAGGUUAGGAUUCGUCCGAAGCUUUUGAUUGAAGCCCAAGUAAACGGCGGCCGUAACUAUAACGGUCCUAAGGUAGCGAAAUUCCUUGUCGGGUAAGUUCCGACCUGCACGAAUGGCGUAACGAGGGCCACACUGUCUCCACCCGAGACUCAGUGAAAUUGAAAUUGCUGUUAAGAUGCAGUAUACCCGCGGCCAGACGGAAAGACCCCGUGCACCUUUACUACAGCUUUGCAUUGAACUCUGAUUCUACCUGUGUAGGAUAGGUGGGAGGUUUUGAAACUUGGACGCUAGUUCGAGUGGAGCCAUCCUUGAAAUACCACCCUGGUAUACUUGGGAUUCUAACCUAGGUCCAUUAUCUGGAUCGGGGACAAUGCAUGGUGGG